UGAAGGACAUACGUCAUAGGUCAAAGUUGAAACUGCUGAAAACAGAAACAACAUGGAGACCGAGACCAGAAGGAGGAGCGGAGGCUCCGAUAACACCUCUAAAAAAGGUGCGAAACGCGAUGAAGAAGAAGCAAGAAGGAGAGGGGUCGUGAGGGAGACGUUAGGGGAGAGGUUUGAUCUGGAGAAAAGAGCCAUGAAGGUAGUGGAGCGUCUCCUGGAGGACUGUGUGGCUGAAGACUUCCUGGUUGACUGUGCAUGGUUCAUUGCUCCUGCUAAUUACAAAGACACUAUCGAGGAGAGAUCGAUUUCUAAACUGUGUGGUUAUCCUUUAUGUUCAAAUAAACUUGGCAAGAUCCCAACUCAAAUGUAUAAAAUUUCUACUAAGACCAACAAGGUGUAUGACAUAACAGAGCGUAAGAGUUUUUGUAGUAACUUUUGCUACAAAGCCUCCAAACAGUUUGAGCUCCAAAUCUCGAAUACACCUCUUUGGCUCAGGGUGCACGAGAGUCCUCCAGAAAUUAUAUUGAUGAAGAAAGGAGAUGGCGGCAGUUCUGGUGAGGAGGUGCUGCUGUUGGAGAGGGGUCUCCAAGAAGAGGAUGUCGAGAACCCUCUUGCUGCUCAAUCCCUGGACCCUCACAGCUCUCAGCAGGGUUCUGCUGUGGCCGGACUCAGCCACAGUGAAAGCAGCGACAUUGAACAGGAGCAGGACUUUGUCUCCAGCGUGGUUUCCCAGCGGCAGGGACCUAAGGUGCACUGGGGCAACCUGCCUAAACGUACAGAUGAAGACAAGGAAAAUGGUCAUAGGAUGGAGAAGGAAAAGAAACAGAGGAGGGGUGGCGAUGAAAAGGAGAUUGAGGCUCAUCGAAGUCACGGCGCAGAUGGGGAGCGAAAAAUGAGAGAAGAUAAGAAUAGACAAGAGUCAUUUUCUUGUAAAACAGAAGUUGGAACUGAUGCUAAAAAACGUCUGCACUCAUCAAAUACAGAUAAACUUAAUGGAGAGCAUGUGCCAGAGGAGAGAGGCCUGCCUGACGAACCCAGUGUGGAAGAGGCUACCGCUAGGCUGAAUUUGAUCUAUUUAUCUCAGACGGUCACUCCCCCGCCUGUUGACUCAACAGCCAAACAAACAGAAAACACCAAUCUACUCACUCCACCCAAAGGCCCAAACGGCUCAACAGAAAGCAUACAUUUCCCAUCUUCAACUCUGAUCAACACGAAUCAGGAUGGUCACGACACGGCAUUGACCAGCCAGCCAGGCCUUAACAUCACACAGGUAGGUAUGAGCAGGAGGGGGGCAGCAGGGCUGCGAGAACUACUCAAGAACCACACGGCUGCACCCAAACCCAACUCCAUCCGGCUGAAUCUCAUCGAGUGCCUGACGAGAACGUUAAAGGACUGGAGCACAGACGAGACCCUGAAGUUCCUGUACGGUGCUGACCAGUCGCUCUGCUCGCCUUUUGUUAGUGUAAAAGAAGAAAAAGAGGUGGGGGGGGAAGAGGAGGAGCUCGAUGAAGACGACCUUGAAGAUGAGGGGACCAAUGAGGGUGCUGGGGUGCAGAAGAGACCGUCUGCCGCAGCUCCAGACUACCAUGUGCUGCAGCAAGAGACCCAGCAGCUGGAGCUACGAGUCAGAGAGUUUUAUAAGGGAACCUGGAUUCUACCCGAAGAGGUGGAGGAGCCGCAUGGAAGCAAGAUGACAAAGGACCCAGCGAUGCCGCUUGUUGACUCUCGUGCUCAGCACCUCAUCCAGAAACGAAUCACAGUGGAGAAACUCACUAGCUGUCUCAGAAACAUCGUCGGUCCUCUGCGUCUCACCAUGAGCGACUUCUCCACUGACCUGAACAACCUGGUCAGGACAUUCAGGUUCACUAACAAAAACAUCCUCCACAAAACUCCAGAGUGGACCCUCCUAGCAGUCGUGCUUCUCCAUCUGUAAGUGUCUGUGUGUGAAUGUGUUACUUCAGGCUCGAGAGGAUGCACCGUGACAGUCUGCUGAUUAGUUGUAGAGGCGUGAGAGACAAUACGAUAUAUGACGAGGAAAUCAAGGGCCAUUAUCUCCCAGGAAAUACACCCAGUCAGCAAACUCCAAAACCACUGUUCUUCCCUGCCUGAGUGUGUCAAUAUAAUAUAUCAAUGUGUGUGUUUCUACAGCAAUUGUAUCUCAUAAAGAACAAGCUGAGUGAUAUAAAUAGAGCUGACAUGAACAGCAAUUAAAGGUCUAUGCAAUAUACAUGUUUUAACUUUUAAAGAAGCAAGACAAUCCACAUAUUGGAACUAAAGCUGACAUUAGUGUUAUGCAAAAAUUAGCUUUUGCAUAUUUAUAUAUACAGAUCGAUGCUCAAAUCAAGCAACAACUUCUGCUUCUGAAAAUUAAAGUUAAACUGUCCAUACUGACUUGGGCUCACGACACGGUUCAAAGCUUCAUGCUGCUUCUGACAAGAUGCUAUAUGGUGUGGCAUUGUUUUAUCCCAUGCCAUAUGGUGUGUGUGUGUGAGAGAGAGUGUGUGUGCGUGUGUGUGUGUGUGUGUGCGUGUUGCUGGCAGUUCAGGGACAGUUCCGUGCUGCUCCCGCCUAAGUACACACGGACGCCUCGGGGCCUUAUCUCCUCCUGAUUGCCCCUCUCCAGAUCCGUGAUCCAGGAUAUAAGGCACACACAAGGAGCCCUUUACAACUUGUCUGAGGUGUCUCCGGUGGUACGAGAAGCCUUGGAGAUGCCAACAUCAGUGGAGUAUUUGAACACACUGAUGGAAGAGCUCGGUCUACAGGA